AUUCUAGAAUGUUCUGAAAUAUUUUCGAAUGCUUGAGAAAACUCUGUACUUAUGGAAAUGUCCCAUGUUGCACUAUCCAAUAUGAUAGUCACUAGGCACAUGGGCUGUUGAACAAUAGAAAUAUGGCUAAUGUAAUUGAGAAACUGAAAAUGUAAUUUACAUGUACAUUUAAGAUGAAAUAGCCAGACAUGGCUACUAUUAUAAUGGACAACACAUUUUUACAAAUUAUGAGUUGACUUUAUUAUACCAGCCUCUAUCUCAUACUUCCUUAUUAUCUUCAAAACACAAUCGAUCAGGAACAAAAACGUAAUCUCAAGCUUCUAGAAAUUUGGCACACUCACCAAAGAACUGAAUACUCCUUUGCAGUCAGACCAUGUGUUCCAGACAACAUAACUAGAAAGAUGUGAGAAGGCACUUCAUGUGGGAGAUAAGCCUUGUUUUACUUAAUCCACUGAGAUGUCAGAGUUAAUUGUUACAGCAGCAGCCUGUUGUAUAGGCUGACUAACACAUGGUAACUAACAGAACACUUUGGAUUCUUGACAAAAUAAGAGCAAGAAAGCAGCAGCAGAAGCAGAAAUCAGAGGGGCGAGAAACCAAAAGCAACAGAGCAAGAUCUACUCUCUACACAUCGACAUCCUGCUCUCUUCCAGGGAGAGUAACCUACAUGAACCAUACCAGUGGUUCCCAUCCAGGACAGUUCCCACUCACCUCCCCAUGGACAUUUGGAAAUAUCUAGAGACAUUUUUGCAUAUCACAAAAUGCAAAAAAAAAAAAAAUGUACCCUGCAAAGCCACAAGAGCAGAGCAGACCAAGGCUUUGGGAGCCUACCCCUUGCAUCAAUGUGGCCUGGAUGUGAGACAUGGAGUCAAAGGUUUUCAGUGUCUGAUGGGUAGGGGCUAGGGAUGCUGUUAAACAUGCUGCAAUGCAUAGGAUAGUUCUCUACAAUAAAGAAUUAUUCAAUCUUAAA
ensembl:lncRNA novel transcript